GCUAGGGUUGGUCAGAUUAACUGAUAAUUGGAUGGAUUAGGGCACUGAUUGGUCGUCCAAUGAUAAUCCCUAUUACUCUCUAGUCUAUACUGCUUAUAAUACUUUUUACCUUUGUAGUUUGGGCGUUGGGUUAUGAUUGCACAAUGAAGAAAAUGAUCAACUGAUCUAUAUGUUCGUAUCUCUUCUUAUUGCAGCUCUCUCUUUCGUCUUUUGCUAGAUUUUGGCGGUAAGUUUCUAUGUUAAACAAGAACAAGUAUCUUCAAAACCGAAGUUUAAGCUUGAUAAGUUACAAGAGAAACAACUGGAAAAUACUUGUAAUGCCAUUGUUUAUCUUGCGAGUAUGAUGAUGCUAUGCAGUGCUAGUAGUAAGUUGGGCACCGUCAGGUUCCAGUGAAGUUGACUGCUUCAGAGCUGGGCCUGAAACGUUGCAAAAGUUGAAGCAGAGAGGGCUGCAGAAACUCGAGGCUCCUUUGUUCCUGAAAGACCCUGCUGAAUGAUUAACAAUGCCUGGUUUAUUCUCUGCUCAUUAUGAAUUUGUCCUGAGACCAUGAGCAACCACCCCAAUUAUUCCCCCACUCGGAGUGUUCUCAUUGCCAUUGGGCCCACCCCCAUAAAAACCUAGGGCAUGUUUCUAGCUUCCAUUGAUUCUUGCUGUUUUCUCCCCCUCCACAUGAACACCACAUGCACUUGUCCUCCAUGUCAAGUAUUUUAAUCCUAUAGUUUUCUAGUCUUUUCACAUGUAUGUUGACAUGUGGUCUAAUGGAACAGGGGCAAACUCUGCCUCCGAUUUUAAAAACAAGGAGUAAAAUCAUAAAGUUGAAAAAUAAGGGCAAAUUCACCAUUAGC
rnacentral:lncRNA from 1 species